GGCAGUUUAGCUUAAUGGUAAAGCGUAAUCACAUGGAUGUGAGUUCGAGUCUCAUGACAGGCU
rnacentral:tRNA from 1 species